rnacentral:piRNA from 1 species
CGGAAGGAACUGCAGAGUUGGAAGGC